GACGAACGCUGGCGGCGUGCUUAACACAUGCAAGUCGAACGGUGAAGGGGUCUGCUUUUGUGGGCCCUGGAUGAGUGGCGAACGGGUGAGUAACACGUGAGUAACCUGCCCCCUUCUUCUGGAUAACCGCAUGAAAGUGCGGCUAAUACGGGAUAUUCUGGGUCUGUCGCAUGAUGGGUCUGGGAAAGAUUGCGCCUUUGGGUGUUUUUGGUGGGGGAUGGGCUCGCGGCCUAUCAGCUUGUUGGUGGGGUGAUGGCCUACCAAGGCGGUGACGGGUAGCCGGCAUGAGAGGGUGGACGGUCACACUGGGACUGAGACACGGCCCAGAAUCCUACGGGAGGCAGCAGUGGGGAAUAUUGCACAAUGGGCGCAAGCCUGAUGCAGCGACGCCGCGUGAGGGAUGGAGGCCUUCGGGUUGUAAACCUCUUUCGCCAGUGAAGCAGGCCUGCUCCUUGUGGGUGGGUUGACGGUAGCUGGAUAAGAAGCGCCGGCUAACUACGUG
rnacentral:rRNA from 1 species